rnacentral:miRNA from 1 species
CUCCAGAUGUUGCUGAACUACAACUCCCAUGAUUACAUGAAUGAAAUAGAUAGGCUGAGAAUCAUGGGAAUUGUAGUUCAGCAACAUGUGGAG